rnacentral:rRNA from 1 species
CAAAAACAUGUCUUUUGGUUUUAAUUAAAAGUCUGGCCUGCCCACUGAAGUUAAUUAAAGGGCUGCAGUAUUUUGACUGUACAAAGGUAGCAUAAUCAUUAGUUUCUUAAUUAGGAACUGGAAUGAAUGGUUUUUCGAGAUAUCAGCUGUCUACUAGAUAAAUAAAUUGAAUUUUAUAUUUAAGUUAAAAAGCUUAAAUGAGUUUUGGGGACGAGAAGACCCUAUAGAUCUUUAUAUUGAAUUCAAUAAUAUUAUCGUGUGGUUUAAUUGGGAUUUAUUGUUUUUGAUAUUUUAUUGGGGUGAUACGGGAAUAUAUAAACUUCUCGAGUAUUAUAAACUUGGAUUGGAGAAUUUUGGAUCCUUAAUUUAGGAAGGAAGAUUAAGAUACCUUAGGGAUAACAGCGUUAUUUUGUUAGAAAGUUCAUAUUAAUAACGAAGAUUGCGACCUCGAUGUUGGAUUAAGAUUAUUAGCUGGUGCAGAAGUUGGCUAAAUAGGUCUGUUCGACCAUUAAAUUCU